GGGGAGCGUUCUCAUUGGGUUGAAGCAGUACCGUAAGGAGUUGUGGACUGAUGAGAAGUGAGAAUGUCGGUAUAAGAAGCGAAAAGAAUGGUGAGAAUCCAUUCCACCGAAAGCCUAAGGGUUCCUGAGCAACGAUCGUCGUCUCAGGGUAAGUCGGGACCUAAGCCGAGGCGGAAAAGCGUAGGCGAUGGACAACAGGUUGAAAUUCCUGUACCGGUGUGAAUCGUUUGAUCGAAGGAGUGACACAGUAAGGUAGGCCAGCACGCGAUUGGAAGUGCGUGUUUAAGCAUGUAGGUUGAGUUAUAGGCAAAUCCGUAACUCUAAAAGCUGAGAUGUGAUGACGAGCUGUUUACAGCGAAGUGAUUGAUCCUACACUGUCGAGAAAAGCUUCUAGGUAGAGACACAUCGCCCGUACCAAAACCGACACAGGUAGGCGGGGAGAGAAUCCUAAGGUGCGCGGGAAAACCCUCGUUAAGGAACUCGGCAAAAUGCCUCCGUAACUUCGGGAAAAGGAGGACUCAUGUAGUGUGAAGGGCAGUAACGCGUGGAGCAUGAAUGAGUGGCACAAGAGAGGCGCAAGCGACUGUUUACCACAAACACAGGUGCCUGCUAAAGCGAAAGCUGAUGUAUAGGUGCUGACACCUGCCCGGUGCUGGAA
rnacentral:rRNA from 1 species